AUGUGGACGGACGAGGUCCAAGUUAAGGUUCAUUUUGCGGACUUCCAUGUGAUCCUUGCCUCUGUAGUUAAUCCAGUUUCUAGCGUUUCUUUUGCUCUUAUUUGUAUAUAUGGAGACCCGUAUCAUCGUCGCUCUAGUGACAUCUGGGAUCGUAUUGCCUCUUUUGUGUAUGAUAACCAAGGCAAUCCUAUUUUGUGUAUGGGAGAUCUUAAUGAUAUACUUUAUGAUGUCGAUAAAAGUUCUCCCUUUGUGAAUUACUCUCGCUUGCAUGCUUUUCGUUAUAUUGUGAAACAAUGUGGUCUGAUUGAUCUGGGAUAUAGUGGCCCUGCUUAUACUUGGACAAACAAAAGGUAUUCUUCCAACCCAACCAUGGAAAGACUUGAUAGAUGUCUAGUUAAUGCUGAAUGUGUUGGAAAUAUGCCCUAG
rnacentral:rRNA from 1 species